rnacentral:misc_RNA from 1 species
UUAAGUUCAGCGGGUCUUCCUACCUGAUCCGAGGUCAACCUUGGGUAAAUAAGGCUUUUUAACGGCCGGAACCCGCAGCACGCCCUGAGCGAGAUGUAUUACUACGCUCGGAGUGACUAGCGAGCCCGCCACUGGUUUCAGGGCCUGCGGCAGCCGCAGGUCCCCAACACCAAGCCCGGGGGCUUGAGGGUUGAAAGUGA